rnacentral:tRNA from 1 species
GGGCAAUUGGCUCAGUGGUAGAGCGCAUCGUUCACAUCGAUGAGGCCGCAGGUCCGAUCCCUGCAUUGCCCA